rnacentral:rRNA from 1 species
CCUACGGGGGACAGCAGUGAGGAAUAUUGGUCAAUGGACGGAAGUCUGAACCAGCCAUGCCGCGUGCAGGAAGACGGCUCUAUGAGUUGUAAACUGCUUUUGUACAAGGGUAAACCUGACUACGCGUAUUCCGCUGAAAGUAUUGUACGAAUAAGGAUCGGCUAACUCCGUGCCAGCAGCCGCGGUAAUACGGAGGAUCCAAGCGUUAUCCGGAUUUAGUGGGUUUAAAGGGUGCGUAGGCGGAUUGAUAAGUUAGAGGUGAAAUGUCCGAGCUUAACUCGGGAACUGCCUCUAAUACUGGUGAUCUAGAGAGUAGAUGCGGUAGGCGGAAUGUAUGGUGUAGCGGUGAAAUGCUUAGAGAUCAUACAGAACACCGAUUGCGAAGGCAGCUUACCAAUCUAUAUCUGACGUUGAGGCACGAAAGCGUGGGGAGCAAACAGGAUUAGAUACCCGAGUAGUC